CCAGCCCUUGCCCUCCACCCCGACCUGCCCCUCGCCCCGCCGGCUCCUGUCAUCCGGCGACCGCACAUGCUGAGAGAACAGGUCCGCCCGCCCGGCUCGCUCCCGAGCUGCCCCACCAGGCGCGCGCCGCUCACCAGGGCCGAGGUGCUUGAGGCGCUGCCGCUACCGCCGCUGCCCAGUCCCUUCAUGAGCGGGCAACCUAGACCUGAAAAUUGGAGCACCAGGAUAGAAUUUCCACUUCUGCUGCUGUCAAGACCUGUGUCCUGAGCCUGGUGUGGUGGCACACAUCUUUAAUCCCAGCACUCAGGAAGCUGAGGCAGGAGGAUCUCUGCGAGUGCGAGGCCAGCCUGGGUGGGC
rnacentral:lncRNA from 1 species